AUUGAACGCUGGCGGCAGGCUUAACACAUGCAAGUCGAGCGGAGCGAGGGUGCUUGCACCUUAGCUUAGCGGCGGACGGGUGAGUAAUGCUUAGGAAUCUGCCUAUUAGUGGGGGACAACAUUCCGAAAGGAAUGCUAAUACCGCAUACGCCCUACGGGGGAAAGCAGGGGAUCUUAGGACCUUGCGCUAAUAGAUGAGCCUAAGUCGGAUUAGCUAGAUGGUGGGGUAAAGGCCUACCAAGGCGACGAGCUGUAGCGGGUCUGAGAGGAUGAUCCGCGACACUGGGACUGAGACACGGCCCAGACUCCUACGGGAGGCAGCAGUGGGGAAUACUGGACAAUGGGCGGAAGCCUGAUCCAGCCAUGCUGCGUGUGUGAAGAAGGCCUUUUGGUUGUAAAGCACUUUAAGCGAGGAGGAGGCUACUUAGAUUAAUACUCUGGGAUAGUGGACGUUACUCGCAGAAUAAGCACCGGCUAACUCUGUGCCAGCCGCCGCCGUAA
rnacentral:rRNA from 1 species